UUGGUUAAGUUAGAAAGGGCGCACGGUGGAUGCCUUGGCACUAGGAGCCGAAGAAGGACGGGACUAACACCGAUAUGCUUUGGGGAGCUGUACGUAAGCGUUGAUCCAGAGAUUUCCGAAUGGGGGAACCCACUAUCUUUAGUCGGAUAGUAUCCUUACGUGAAUACAUAGCGUGAGGAAGGCAGACCCAGGGAACUGAAACAUCUAAGUACCUGGAGGAAGAGAAAGAAAAAUCGAUUUCCUGAGUAGCGGCGAGCGAAACGGAAAGAGCCCAAACCAAGAAGCUUGCUUCUUGGGGUUGUAGGACACUCUAUACGGAGUUACAAAAGAAAGUUAUAAAUGAAGCGGUCUGGAAAGGCCCGCCAAAGACGGUAACAGCCCGGUAGUUGAAAUAGCUUUCCCUCCAGAGUGGAUCCUGAGUACGGCGGAACACGUGAAAUUCCGUCGGAAUCCGGGAGGACCAUCUCCCAAGGCUAAAUACUCCCUAGUGACCGAUAGUGAACCAGUACCGUGAGGGAAAGGUGAAAAGCACCCCGGAAGGGGAGUGAAACAGUUCCUGAAACCGUGUGCCUACAAGUAGUUAGAGCCCGUUAAUGGGUGAUAGCGUGCCUUUUGUAGAAUGAACCGGCGAGUUACGAUUUGUUGCAAGGUUAAGCGGAAAAAGCGGAGCCGUAGCGAAAGCGAGUCUGAAUAGGGCGCAUAAGUAACAGGUCGUAGACCCGAAACCAGGUGAUCUACCCAUGUCCAGGAUGAAGGUAAGGUAAUACUUACUGGAGGUCCGAACCCACGCACGUUGAAAAGUGCGGGGAUGAGGUGUGGGUAGCGGAGAAAUUCCAAUCGAACUUGGAGAUAGCUGGUUCUCUCCGAAAUAGCUUUAGGGCUAGCCUCGAGGUAAAGAGUCAUGGAGGUAGAGCACUGUUUGGACUAGGGGCCCUUCUCGGGUUACCGAAUUCAGAUAAACUCCGAAUGCCAUGUACUUAUACUCGGGAGUCAGACUGCGAGUGAUAAGAUCCGUAGUCGAAAGGGAAACAGCCCAGACCACCAGUUAAGGUCCCCAAAUAUAUGUUAAGUGGAAAAGGAUGUGGGGUUGCUUAGACAACCAGGAUGUUGGCUUAGAAGCAGCCACCAUUGAAAGAGUGCGUAAUAGCUCACUGGUCGAGUGACCCCGCGCCGAAAAUGUACCGGGGCUAAACAUAUUACCGAAACUGUGGAUGAACCUCUUUGGAGGUUCGUGGUAGGAGAGCGUUCUAAGGGCGGUGAAGUCAGACCGGAAGGACUGGUGGAGCGCUUAGAAGUGAGAAUGCCGGUAUGAGUAGCGAAAGAAGGGUGAGAAUCCCUUCCACCGAAUAUCUAAGGUUUCCUGAGGAAGGCUCGUCCGCUCAGGGUUAGUCGGGACCUAAGCCGAGGCCGAUAGGCGUAGGCGAUGGACAACAGGUAGAGAUUCCUGUACCAGUGCUAAUUGUUUAACCAAUGGGGUGACACAGAAGGAUAGGGAAUCGCACGAAUGGAAAUGUGCGUCCAAGCAGUGAGUGUGAGAAGUAGGCAAA
rnacentral:rRNA from 1 species